AAGAAUCAACCUUGCUCUGCCUUGUUUCAUCAUUUAUUAACUUGUUGCUAAAACAGAAGCUGCCUAAAAAAAACAUUUUUUUGCAAUUUCUCCGCUAUUUCCCCUAAACGGGUUUCUUCUGCAUGCAGCAAUCUUAGCCUUCCCAACCUUGAUUCAGACUUUAAUUCCGUCACAAAUUUGGAUUUAGACGACCCUUGACGCAUCUCGGUGUCUGAUGUAGGUCUAAGAGGGGGAAGUUGGGGAAAGAUCGUCCCCCUUUUUCCGUGGAGAUUCCCGCUCUUUUCCCCACCGGAUCGGGGGUCCUUCUGAAUCUUCUCUUAAGAGGUCAAGAGGUGGUCAGAGAAUGCACGGCCACCUAUUUCCUUGGGGAGAAGCCACCCGUGGCUGUUCUCAACUGUAAAGCCGUGGAAGGGAUAGAGGAGGAAGAAGAAGAGGUGGAGGAGAAGGAGAACCAGGAGGAGGAGGAGGAGGAGGGCUUUUCUCCCUCUCAAGGAACAGCUGGAAUGUUCGAUGAAAUUGAGGAGGAAAUUGAGGAGGAGGAAAGGCGUGAGGAUAGAUAUUAAGGUAAUAUACAAUGUCAACACCCACAGCGGCAUCAACAAACCACCUCAACCUCAACCGCUUUAGGGGAUGAUUCAGAAACACCAGACCUCAGAUAUCCGGCCCAAGAAAAAUCAUUUCUGCAGAAAAUGUGGGUAAU